GGGGCCAUAGCUCAGUUGGUAGAGCGGGUGCUUUGCAAGCAUCAGGUCGUCGGUUCGAUCCCGUCUGGCUCCACCA
rnacentral:tRNA from 6 species